rnacentral:rRNA from 1 species
CCUACGGGAGGCAGCAGAGGGGAAUUUUGGACAAUGGGCGCAAGCCUGAUCCAGCCAUGCCGCGUGUCUGAAGAAGGCCUUCGGGUUGUAAAGGACUUUUGUCAGGGAAGAAAAGGAACGUGUUAAUACCAUGUUCUGAUGACGGUACCUGAAGAAUAAGCACCGGCUAACUACGUGCCAGCAGCCGCGGUAAUACGUAGGGUGCGAGCGUUAAUCGGAAUUACUGGGCGUAAAGCGGGCGCAGACGGUUACUUAAGCGGGAUGUGAAAUCCCCGGGCUCAACCCGGGAACUGCGUUCCGAACUGGGUGGCUAGAGUGUGUCAGAGGGGGGUAGAAUUCCACGUGUAGCAGUGAAAUGCGUAGAGAUGUGGAGGAAUACCGAUGGCGAAGGCAGCCCCCUGGGAUAACACUGACGUUCAUGCCCGAAAGCGUGGGUAGCAAACAGGAUUAGAUACCCUUGUAGUC